rnacentral:sRNA from 1 species
UUUGUUAAGACAAAGCACAAUCUUGCAUAAAGCUUUCAAAACUACGUCGUUUCGAUUUAACAGAGACUUUUAAUGGAAAUUUAACUUUGUUAACGGAAACUUAACAACAUGCCCAAAAAUGAUCAAAUCAACGAAACUUGAUUAUUUCAUCCAAAAGUCAAACAAAACUUAUGAUUUAAAUGAUAUUUCAAAAAUUCAUGACUUUUUCGUCUCAAAUUUGAAAGUUCCCGCAUUUGUUUGACAUUUUUCCCAAAAAAAGGUAAUGCAAUUUUUUAAAGGGUAAUAUUAGUAGAUAAUCAAAUAAAACAUACAAAUUAAGAAACUAGCAGAGAGAAAGUUUUUUGUUACAAAAUAACCAUGGACCCACGUUGUCGGAAGAAAGGAAAUAACAAAGCUACCCUUCAUUUGUUGUAAGAUGAACAGUAAACGAAACACAUCCGUGUAAUUUUUCAAAAUAGCAUGUAACAUUAAAAAUUUUACAUGUUAUAUUUAGUUUUAAAACAUGCUAUUUCAAAAAACGUUAUGAAUUUUUAAGAAAAAACAUUAUUAUGAAAUUCUUUUACAUGAACAGAAUCUUAAAAAAAA